rnacentral:rRNA from 1 species
UAAGACAGAGGGGGCAAGCGUUGCUCGGAAUCACUGGGCGUAAAGGGCGCGUAGGCGGGAUGGCAAGUCAGUCGUGAAAUCUCUCGGCUCAACCGAGAAACGUCGGCUGAUACUGCCGUUCUUGAGGGAUGCAGAGGAGACUGGAAUUCCCGGUGUAGCGGUGAAAUGUGUAGAGAUCGGGAGGAACACCGGUGGCGAAGGCGGGUCUCUGGGCAUUUCCUGACGCUGAGGCGCGAAAGCGUGGGGAGCAAACGGGAUUAGAUACCCCGGUAGUCCACGCUGUAAACGUUGGGCGCUAGGUGUGGGGGGCCUCUCCGGUUCUCUGUGCCGCAGCUAACGCAUUAAGCGCCCCGCCUGGGGAGUACGGCCGCAAGGCUA